rnacentral:rRNA from 1 species
UACGUAGGGACCGAGCGUUGUCCGGAAUCAUUGGGCGUAAAGGGCUCGUAGGCGGUCUGUUGCGUCAGGAGUGAAAACUCGGGGCUUAACCCCGAGCCUGCUUCUGAUACGGGCAGACUAGAGGUAUGCAGGGGAGAACGGAAUUCCUGGUGUAGCGGUGAAAUGCGCAGAUAUCAGGAGGAACACCGGUGGCGAAGGCGGUUCUCUGGGCAUUGCCUGACGCUGAGGAGCGAAAGUGUGGGGAGCGAACAGG